UAGGGAAUUUUGGGCAAUGGGCGAAAGCCUGACCCAGCAACGCCGCGUGAAGGAUGAAGUAUUUCGGUAUGUAAACUUCGAAAGAAUAGGAAGAAUAAAUGACGGUACUAUUUAUAAGGUCCGGCUAACUACGUGCCAGCAGCCGCGGUAAUACGUAGGGACCAAGCGUUGUUUGGAUUUACUGGGCGUAAAGGGCGCGUAGGCGGCAUGACAAGUCACUUGUGAAAUCUCUGGGCUUAACCCAGAACGGCCAAGUGAUACUGUCGCGCUAGAGUGCAGAAGGGGCAAUCGGAAUUCUUGGUGUAGCGGUGAAAUGCGUAGAUAUCAAGAGGAACACCUGAGGUGAAGACGGGUUGCUGGGCUGACACUGACGCUGAGGCGCGAAAGCCAGGGGAGCAAACGGGAUUAGAUACCCUAGUAGUCCCUGAGCGGGCUGGCAAGGCGCAU
rnacentral:rRNA from 1 species